CCUCAUAAUGUGUGUAAAAAUAAAUUACUGUCGUUUCACAACGACUGUGCAGAGGUGAUCGAUGGCGUUACACUGAAGUAUACUGGCAUGCAGCUAUUAAUUCCACAUCGUCACCUGACCAUGGUGGAAGAUCGGAUUUGGAGGUCCUUGCCAGACAUUGCUGAUCAACAAAUGUAUUAUGAACUGCUCUGGCCUGUUCUUCUUGGUGGUGUACUGGCUGUAGAGUUCCCACAUCUCCUGAAAGGUGUGAGUGUCAAACCCUUUUUGGCCAUAGAUGCGCUGGUCAAUGUUGGCCUCGAGGAUCGUGGAGACCUGGGGGAAACUUUCAGCAUACUCAGCCAAGUAGUCUUUGAUCCAUCUGUUUCCAAUUUCUCCCUUUCUCUGCGGAUCUCUGACCUCUGCUCCGUGCUUGUCCAGUAUGCUGUAAUCACAUUAAGAGUAAUAAUUAAUAGCUUAUUCAUGUUAUUCAUAUCAUGUGCAAUAGUCAUGUGCAGAUCAUUAACUAUGAACUAUAGCCCCAAAUGUUUUAUGAACAGCCUUGGAUAUUUAUUUAUUCAUCAAAAGUAAGAACAAUGCAUAAAAUAAUACAUAAAAUUGUUCCGUACAUGUUCUUCUGUCCUUCUAAACAUAUGUUAAAGCCCUUCAAAGCCCUGAGCUGAGUCUCUGUGUGUAUUUUUGGUAUGUAUGUAUUUUAUCAAGCUCUUGUGACUUUUCUUUUACAUUUUUUCUCGUGUUCAUAUCAUUUGCAUCAAGUUUUAAUUACAGUUUAUUUAUUUUUUCGGUUAAUUAAACCAGCAGGAAACAUGA